CUAUUACCAAAUUUCUAACACAAAGUUCUCCUUUUUCAUUUUUUCUUUUUGUAAUUUAAGAGAAAGAAAAACAAGAUCUCUCUCCCACUUCACCUUCUUCAACCUACUACCUACUUCUUUUGUGCAACUUGUCUCUAGAACAGCUCCUGAAUCUCACACUAAAAAGUAAGAGAGAGAGUGAGAGUGAGGGGACAACAUCCCACCAUUUGAGGCUGCCCCUAUUUUAGUCUCUACCCUCAAUCAUGCCAUCAGGUGCUAAGAAGAGGAAAGCUGCCAAGAAAAAGAAGGAAAAGGGAACGGAAAUUAACACCAACCCUUCAACUACCAACCUUCAAGGGAAUGAUGAGGUGAAGUCACAGGAUGAGAAGGGAAGUGAUGGUGGUGAGGGUGGUUCACCUUCACAUGGAGACCAUGAUCUUGCUUUCAAUGAAGAGGAGGAGGAGGAGAGAGACCCUUCAGCUGCUCAACCAUCUGAUGCUGCUACUUCCAAGGAUUUGGAAGCCAAGAUCGGUGAAACUGAGGGAGGAAAGGAAGGUGUUGUUGUUGUAGAGUGGGAUGAGAAAUCUGAGGAGAAUUCUGAGAGCAAAGAUGUGAGUGCAGGGCUCGUUGAGUCUGCCAAGGAAUCCCAUCAUGGGAAUGGAAAAUCUGAUAGUUCAAGUGAUGAAACCGGAACUGUGACAAGCUCAAAGGACGAGUCCCAUGAUUCGAUAAAUGAGACAGUUGCAUUCGGUGAGUUGGUUAAAUCGACGGAUUCUUUGCAUGCAAAAGUGUCGCCAGUUACUCAAAACGUACUGGCUGAGACUUCUGAUUCGGUUGCAGAACCUUCUAAUGAACCAGUUAAAUCAGUGGCAUCCGUACCUGAUGUUCAAACCAUUCAUAAUGAUAAUGCUUCAUUAGAGAAAUCAACUGGAUCUCAAGUCGAAGCAACCGACCUUGCUGUGAAGAAAAAUGAGGAUGAAGAGCAUCCAAUCACUGAUCAGAAUGUCAGAACACUAAGUUUGGAGGAACCUAAGCCAAGGGAAUUUGACAAUGAAGUAUCAGCAUCUGUGUCUCAUAGUCCUAUCCCUGAAUCUACUCUUGGUGCAGAACAUGUUAAAGAUUCUGAUGCUCCAGAGAGCUCUGAAAAUCAGGCUCUUGUAUCAUCAUCAGUCCCGCCUGUGAUGCAAAAGACUUCCUGGUUGAGUUGCUGUGGACUAUUUGAUGUUCUGUCUGGCUCCAACAGAUAAGUUGAGAGUGCAGAUCCUGUAGGUUUCAAGAAUGAAGACUGCCUCUUCACUUAGAAGAAUUGUUUGCAUGUUCUGUUUAAGAGAAAAUACAAGCACGGGGAUCUCAUCAGAUGGAUCAGACUUGUGAAAACUUAGGACUUCAUUGAUAAAUUUUUGUGAUAUUUUAAUGUAGAUGUGUUUAGAUUUUCCGAACAAUAAUGGGCACAGACCCAACUACAUAAUUCAUGAGGUUUAUCAUCCAAAGAUUGUUGUCGUAAGUAGUUGUGUUAGCAACAGUUCCAGCUUAAUAUACCCAAGUACUUGAAACUUUUCAAACUACAUUUUUGUAACUCUGCAAUUAUAUUAUUGUUCUUAGACUUA